GACUAACGCUGGCGGCGUGUCUUAGCCAUGCAAGUCGAACGAUUCGUAAGGUUCGUUUUUUACGAAGAGUGGCGAACUGGUGAGUAACGCGUGGAUAAUCUACUCCCGAGAGGUGAAUAAUUCCGUGAAAACGGGACUAAUGCGCCAUAUCUCCCAAGUAAACUCUGGGAUGAAAGGUGACCUCUGAUUUAAGUUAUCACUUGGGAAUGAGUCCGCGUCCUAUUAGUUUGUUGGCAGGGUAAUUGCCUACCAAGACUAUGAUAGGUAGCCGGCCUAAGAGGGUGACCGGCCACGCUGGGACUGAGACACUGCCCAGACUCCUACGGGAGGCAGCAGGCUAGAAAUUUGCGCAAUGGGCGAAAGCCUGACGCAGCGACGCCGCGUGGAGGAUUAAGGCCUUUACGGUUGUAAACUCCUUUUAGUAAGGAUGAAGCUUGAAAGAACCAAUAAUUCUUUCAAGUGACAUUACUUGCAGAAAAAGCUCCGGCUAACUCCGUGCCAGCAGCCGCGGUAAUACGGAGGGAGCGAGCGUUGUCCGGAAUUACUGGGCGUAAAGGGGGUCUAGGUGGAUUCUUAAGUCAGAUGUGAAAUAUCCAGGCUCAACUUGGAACAUGCAUCUGAAACUGGGAAUCUUGAGCACAGUAGAGGAGAGUGGAACUCUCAGUGUAGCGGUGGAAUGCGUAGAUAUUGAGAGGAACACCUUUGGCGAAGGCAGCUCUCUGGGCUGUUGCUGACACUCAAGCCCGAAAGCUGGGGUAGCAAACAGGAUUAGAUACCCUGGUAGUCCCAGCUGUAAACGAUGGACACUUGGUGUUGGGUGUAAUACUCGGUGCCGUAGUUAACGCGUUAAGUGUCCCGCCUGGGGAGUACGGUCGCAAGGCUGAGACUCAAAGGAAUUGACGG
rnacentral:rRNA from 1 species